AUGUACAUUCCUACAACAUAGAAUUAAUACAUCAUAUCCUAUUAAAAAUAUGUAUUUAAGUACGCUCGGGAUAGAGUAGUACUAGGAUGGGUGACCGCCUAGGAAGUCCUAGUAUUUUACAUG
rnacentral:rRNA from 1 species